rnacentral:misc_RNA from 1 species
CCAGGGCUUCUGUUCUCAUCGAAUCCGAGAUCGUGUAGUUUAGCGAUGGGGAAAGACUCGAAGGCAGGAGGCAAGGGGAAGGGGAAGCAGGCCGCCGCCGCCGCCGGAGGGGACGAGAAUACUUCCAAGGGGAAAGGGAAGGGGGGAAAGUCGUCCGAUGGGCUCGGCACUUGCACUUAUGUCAAAGCAAGGCAUAUAUUAUGUGAGAAACAGGGUAAAAUCAAUGAAGCAUACAAGAAGCUGCAAGAUGGUUGGCUAAGCAACGGAGAUAAGGUUCCUCCUGCUGAGUUUGCGAAAAUCGCUACAGAGUAUUCAGAAUGCCCAUCAGGAAAAAAGGGUGGUGACCUUGGGUGGUUUCCUAGGGGGAAGAUGGCAGGACCAUUUCAGGAGGUUGCUUUUAACACGCCUGUUGGAGUUACCAGUGCACCAUUCAAAUCGACGCACGGUUAUCAUAUUAUCCUGUCGGAAGGGCGGAAGAAUUGAUGGUGUUCUCGAAACCUCCUUCCUGCCUUGAAUCAGAGAAUUAUAUUGUAUAUCUAAGUCUCUUGGACUUUUGAUCAGUCCUAAAUGGCAAUAUGAUGUUUGAUCAGUCCUAAAUGACAAUAUGAUGUAUGGACCUGAUGGUC